AGAGAGCACCCUCUCACACACAGGCAGGGGCAUGCUCACGUCUGGCCUCCCCUCCCCCUCUCCCCCCCCCAUCCCGAAAUCUGUCUCUGUCUCUCAAUCCCUGUCUUUGCUCCCUCUCUCCCAACUUGUGCAGAAAGAAGAGGUCAUAUGAGGACACAGCAGGAAGGUGGCAUUCUGCAAGCCAGAAAGAAAGUUCUAACCAGAACCCAACCAUGUUGGUACCCUGAUCUUGGACUUCUAGCCUCCAGAACGGUUGAUCAGAUUUCUCUGAAAAAGACCCCUUCAGUCUCCUGCCCAGAGGAGGGAACAGGUCUGAUUACCAGUGUUCCUGGGGGAGAGGGUUGGACCGGUGAGUGAAUCUA
rnacentral:lncRNA from 1 species